GAAUUUUGGACAAUGGGCGAAAGCCUGAUCCAGCAAUGCUGCGUGCAGGAUGAAGGCCUUCUGGUUGUAAACUUCUUUUGUACGGAACGGAAAUCCUUUGGUUAAUACCCUGGAGUCAUGACGGAAUCGUAAGAAUAUGCACCGGCUACAUCCGUGGCAGCAGCCGCGGUAAUACGUAGGGUGUAAGCGUUAAUCGGAAUUACUGGGCGUAAAGCGUGCGCAGGCGGUUUUGUAAGACAGAGGUGAAAUCCCCGGGCUCAACCUGGGAACCGACUUUGUGACUGAAAGGCUAGAGUACGGCAGAGGGGGGUGGAAUUCCGCGUGUAGCAGUGAAAUGCGUAGAUAUGCGGAGGAACACCGAUGGAGAAGGCAACCCCCUGGGCCUGUACUGACGCUCAUGCACGAAAGCGUGGGGAGCAAACA
rnacentral:rRNA from 1 species